AGAGCGAACGCUGGCGGCAGGCCUAAAACAUGCAAGUCGAACGGACCCUUCGGGGUUAGUGGCGGACGGGUGAGUAACACGUGGGAACGUGCCUUUUGGUUCGGAACAACUCAGGGAAACUUGAGCUAAUACCGAAUGUGCCCUUCGGGGGAAAGAUUUAUCGCCAUUAGAGCGGCCCGCGUCUGAUUAGCUAGUUGGUGAGGUAAAGGCUCACCAAGGCUACGAUCAGUAGCUGGUCUGAGAGGAUGAUCAGCCACACUGGGACUGAGACACGGCCCAGACUCCUACGGGAGGCAGCAGUUAGGAAUCUUGCGCAAUGGGCAAAGCCUGACGCAGCCAUGCCGCGUGAAUGAUGAAGGUCUUAGGAUUGUAAAAUUCUUUCAGCGGGACGAUAAUGACGGUACCCGCAGAAGAAGCUCCGGCUAACUUCGUGCCAGCAGCCGC
rnacentral:rRNA from 1 species